GGGUAAGUAGGUUGGUCGUGCCACCGGUACGUACUGGUCUCACUGAUUCCUCCUUCCUGAAGAACCGUAAUGCCAUUAAUUUGGUGUUGCGGGGAAACAGGACUGUUACUUUGAAAAAAUUAGAGUGUUUAAAGCAAGCUAACGCUUGAAUACAUUAGCAUGGAAUAAUGAAAUAGGACGAUCGAUCCUAUUUUGUUGGUUUCUGGGAUUGACGUA
rnacentral:rRNA from 1 species